UGAGCGGCUGUGUGGUGCUUAGCUGCUGGCUGGGGUUAAACCACAACAGACAUUCAGACAUAAUGUGGAGUUGCAGACCAAAUAAAAAAAGCAAGGUGUAAAGUAUGAAAGAAAAUGUACAAAAAUAGCCCCAAGUGGAUCUUAGAAAGAGAAGGAAGAAAUCAGCAGCUUCAACAUCAUGCUCCUCCCAGCAAAGAAGAGGGAGAAACCUCUACCACCACCAUCAUACUCCUCCCAGCAAAAAACUAGGAAAACUGAUGACUCCUUGUAACCAUUCCCUCUCCCUGAAGCCAACAACCCGAAGACUUCAAGAGAAAGAGUAGAAAAAUAUGUUUUCUGGCUAUAAAAUUGGAGGUUGCUAUGUUACCACUAGUUGAACCUCAGCAACGAAAGAGCAGAUUCAGAUCUGCUUUCUUACAGGUGAUGAAAUACACUCCAAUGAAGACAGGAGCAUCCAUGAACAGAGGCUUUGUGAUGGGGUCUCAGCUGAGGACCUCUUCUUGGAUG